rnacentral:rRNA from 1 species
GACGAACGCUGGCGGCGCGCUUAACACAUGCAAGUCGAACGGAAAGGCCUGCUUUCCCUUGUGGAUUGCGGGUACUCGAGUGGCGAACGGGUGAGUAACACGUGAGUGAUCUGCCCCCAACUUGGGUAUAAGCCUGGGAAACUGGGUCUAAUUCCCGAUAGGACUGCAGGGUGGUGCCUGUGGUGGAAAACGAGUUGCUAGUGGUUGGGGAUGAGCUCGCGGCCUAGCAGCUUGUUGGUGGGGUAGUGGCCUACCAAGGCGGCGACGGGGAGCCGGCCUGAGAGGGUGGACGGCCGCAUUGGGACUGGGACACGGCCCAGACGCCUACGGGAGGCAGCAGUUGGGGAUAGUGGACCAGGGGAGGAAGCCUGAUGCGGCGACGCCGCGUGGGAGAUGUCCGGCUUCGGGUAGUAAACUUCUUUCGUCCGAGAGGAAGCCACGUGGUUGGAAGGGUGGUGACGGUAGUGGUAGAAGAAGCACCGGCUAACUACGUG